rnacentral:lncRNA from 1 species
UUUGGGAUAGCUACAGAAAAAGGGAGGAUUCAGUGAGUGAAUCCAUCCAUCAUCCAUCAUCCAUCCAUCCAUCAUCCAUCCAUCCAUCCAUCCAUCCAUCCAUCAUCCAUCCAUCCAUCCAUCCAUCCAUCCAUCAUCCAUCCAUCAUCCAUCCAUCCAUCAUCCAUCCAUCCAUUAUCCAUCCAUCAUCCAUCCAUCAUCCAUCCAUCCAUCAUCCAUCCAUCCAUCAUCCAUCCAUCCAUCCAUCCAUCAUCCAUCCAUCCAUCAUCCAUCCAUCCAUCCAUCCAUCAUCCAUCCAUCCAUCCAUCCAUCCAUCCAUCCAUCCAUCCAUCCAUCCAUCCAUCAUCCAUCAUCCAUCCAUCCAUCCAUCAUCCAUCCAUCAUCAUGGAAUAUGUGAAUUAUUUGCA